rnacentral:rRNA from 1 species
AGUGAACGCUGGCGGUAGGCCUAACACAUGCAAGUCGAACGGCAGCACAGUAAGAGCUUGCUCUUACGGGUGGCGAGUGGCGGACGGGUGAGGAAUACAUCGGAAUCUACUUUUUCGUGGGGGAUAACGUAGGGAAACUUACGCUAAUACCGCAUACGACCUACGGGUGAAAGCAGGGGAUCUUCGGACCUUGCGCGAUUGAAUGAGCCGAUGUCGGAUUAGCUAGUUGGCGGGGUAAAGGCCCACCAAGGCGACGAUCCGUAGCUGGUCUGAGAGGAUGAUCAGCCACACUGGAACUGAGACACGGUCCAGACUCCUACGGGAGGCAGCAGUGGGGAAUAUUGGACAAUGGGCGAAAGCCUGAUCCAGCCAUACCGCGUGGGUGAAGAAGGCCUUCGGGUUGUAAAGCCCUUUUGUUGGGAAAGAACAGCAGCAGGUUAAUACCCCGCUGUUCUGACGGUACCCAAAGAAUAAGCACCGGCUAACUUCGUG